UACGUAGGGCGCAAGCGUUGUCCGGAAUUAUUGGGCGUAAAGAGCUCGUAGGCGGCUUGUCACGUCGGAUGUGAAAGCCCGAGACUUAACCUCGGGUCUGCAUUCGAUACGGGCUAGCUAGAGUGUGGUAGGGGAGAUCGGAAUUCCUGGUGUAGCGGUGAAAUGCGCAGAUAUCAGGAGGAACACCGGUGGCGAAGGCGGAUCUCUGGGCCAUUACUGACGCUGAGGAGCGAAAGCGUGGGGAGCGAACAGG
rnacentral:rRNA from 1 species